rnacentral:lncRNA from 1 species
UAUUUGAUUUUGCUGUUGUGCGGAUUUCGCAGUGUUUUGUGAUACACACUCUAGUUCGGACUUCCAUGAGACCUGUCACAGGAGUCUCGUGUUGAUGGUUUAGUUGACGGUUAAUUUCAAAUAUCGGGUGAUAUCAUCGUCAGAUGGAGUCUGUCAAAUAUUUUAUAUAAAAACCAAACGUGGGCCAGGUCAACACUUGAACGAUUUCUAAAAGCUAAAUAUUCCUUCUCCUUUACCGCCCUCUUCAUGACUCGACCUUGAGAAUCUGAGCUAAACCAGUACUACUGCUUUCUCCGGACGUUUCGAAAUCGGGCAACAAGCAAUUUGCUUAUACUGCAGGAAUUAGCAACAUGGCUCGUGUUUCUUAUCCGUGCCUCAGGGAAUUGCAGAAUUCGCCUGCUAGUACGAACUAACGUAACGAGUUCAGUGCCUUGGAAAGCUAAUUAUAUUUUAAUUGGAACUAGCUGCGCUCAUUCGAGGUUACCAUUGAAGUCAAUUCAGACCCUUCUGUCGUUAUGAAUUUCAAAUUUUCUAAUUAAGCCCAUAUGGCCUAAAAUUAAAGUUCAUUCAGAAUUUCCUGACGACUUUUUUGAUACUAUCCACUUUUCGCUCCAGGAAAUUGCUAACGAUUCAUUUCGGGAUGACGCAUAAGGUAUUCCAUAGUUUCGGUGUUUGAGGGAUUCAAAUAGGUCGUGUUCUUUGCCCUUUGGUCUCGUAGAUGCAGUUUGGCAGGAGAAAUAAUCAUUAUUUUUUAACGAACACUAGAUGUUGCAGUGAAAUUUUGGUGUAACUACAUUCUAUCCAAUUAAAAGGAAUAAUGAUCAGUAUAGAAGGCUUGUCCAUUUAGAAUUAAUUAGAAGCGGAUGCCGUCUUAGGAAUUUCACUAAACAUCCGGUGAUGUCUUUUGCGAUGAAAAAAUAUCGAUAAAAUCGUCCUUUUGAAUCCGAUUUUCGGGUGUCAUUCUAAAAAAAAAAUCGUAUUCUAAGGUUCGGAUUUCAGUUUUUCAUUACUAAUUAGGCGAAUAGCAACGUUCGAUUAAAAAUUCAAAAUUUUUAAUAACAAAUCUGUUUUAAACUGAAGUAUGAUAUUUUUUUAUUUUCCACCCCCAUUUGAACCCCCAUACUGUAACAAAAAAUUGCUGUUCAUUUAAUGUAAUUUUCAAAACUAUGUGACAUCUGGUAUUCGUUAAUGAAAAGACGGUAUGAUCAGUUUACUGAACAAAAAAUCUCUUUUUGAAGUAAUUAAUCAGUGCGCUGACUAUCGUCACAGCUCAUAUCCCGAAGGCAGGCUCUCUCACGCUCCCGCUCGAAAAGAAAGAUUCCGUGUGGAUUAUAAUGACCAAAUUUUAAGAGAAGUUUUAGGGAGGGUGUAAACUUUUCGGAUAAGGUACUAUGGUCGGAUGAAAGUACAUUAAAAAGGAUGGCUUUAUGAACAUGUGUAUGUAUAAUUAUGCAUUUGAAAAUUCCCAUUUCAUCCGAGAAGAAAGGUCCCAAUACUGAUUCAAAGCUAACAUUUGGACCGAUAUUUUGAACGGACUUGUAAUUGAUUUGUUGGAAUUACCAGAAAAUCUGAACUAGUACUUAGCUUACGUUUUUUUUACAAAAUGAUCUUCCAGAUCUUUUAGAAGAUGUUCCUUUGGUUUCAUUCCGCUCUAUGUGGAUAAUGGCUGCCCAGCCCAUUAUGCUCGUGAAGUCUGCCCUUUUCAUAUCAAAAGUAUACCCUAGAUUUCUUUUACUGGGGUUACAUUAAAGAAGAAACCAAUAAAUAUUAUCAAUGAAUUACAUCAGCGAAUAACUGAUGCGUCCCAAAAUUUCAAUGAUGGAAAAUAAGGUACUUUUUAAGCGGGCGCGUUUUUAGUUGGUGUUAUUUAUUUUUUGUUAGUUUAUAUAAAAACCUUCAAUUGCGUUUAUUUUUUUAAAUGAUGUAGACUACGUUUAUUCUUUACUGCAAGGAUCACAUGCACUUGCGAUCAACCGCCUUGGCGGGCCGCUAUAUCUUAUGCAAGAACUGAAAUGAAACCAAUUGCAAUUCAACAUUUUAUUGAUAUCCCUUAAAUACUAAUCAAUAACUUAAACUUUUUGGUUUCCCACCAUACUUUGCAGAAACUUAUCGUGUAAGAAUUCUAAAUGAACUAGUCUCAUACAAUUCCGGAUUGUGCUAAAUUGUGAGAAUUGGAUAUCAUGAAACGUACAGAAAAUGAAAAUUAAAUUAAAGACAUUGAAUUAGAAUUUUGAAUAUAUAUUGAAUUGUAUAUCGAAAUGUUUACCAAAAUUUUUUCCCCGCAUUUUUCAUCCCUUCCUCUACAAAUAUAUCAACUAUUCCUGCACUAUAAUUAUUUUCAUUACUGCUGUUUCAAAUCCCUGUAUCCCUGUCCUUAUUUAUUGCCGCCCGUUGUUGAACAUCAACUCUUGCCCCAGGAUCGAAGCUGACUGCGUACUACAACCGCCUAAGGCGUAUAGGCAAGUUGGCGGUUAGCCGCAAGUCCGACCUCAUCUCUCCAUUCAACUGCCGCUUUUGAAAUUUGGUCUAGUAUGUACAAAUAUGCACGAUUGUAUAUUUAAAUGAAAAAGCGUGUGGUCGGCCGCCUACGCGGUUAACCGC